UGGAGCCCCAGGACAAUGGACUACAGUUGCUACUGAAGAAGUGGCUGGACAGAGAUUGCAGGCCUCCCGGAAGUGGGGAGCACAGAGUGUGGCACUACCAGAAGGCAGUGUCAUUGAAGGGGAUGCCACAGUCCUGGGAGUGGUGCAGUUCCUGGAACAAAAGUGAUGGUUAUGGGACACCAUCACCAGAGGAGGGUGAGCAGAGCUAAUUUCCAUGACAGCUGGCAGGAGAUACUAGAGUGGUAUUUGUGGAUCUGUGCUCCCAAUACUCCCAAAUCCUUGCUGAGAAGAUCCAUCUGAAAAGGUGACCAGGGAGGUUUUAUUGUAAUAUCCCAGAGCCAGAAGUAGGAGCAUGGAUCUUGUAAAAUGGAAAACUGUUUGACAAGCACAGCUAUAAUGGACUCCCUGCAAAAAAAAACCACCAUCCAUUAAGAAAUUGUCACAUUCUGUACUAGCCAACUGCAUCAGCAACCAUGUGUGGUUAUGACAAAUGAAUAUGGGAAGGUAACCAUAGAAGUGACAUCCACAAUGCCUGAAGAACAAGGAAAGAAGCAUUGGACUAG